rnacentral:rRNA from 1 species
GGGAUUGCAAUGAGAACAAUUUAAAAACCUUAUCGAGUACCAACUGGAGGGCAAGUUCUGGUGCCAGCAGCCGCGGUAAUUCCAGCUCCAGUAGCGUAUAUUAAAGUUGCUGCAGUUAAAAAGCUCGUAGUUGAAUUUCUGUUUGUAAGAGUCGAAGCUUUACAGCUAAGAUUUCUUCGAACAUCUGUUUGCAAGCAUACGUUCGGCCUUCACUGGUUGGCUAUGUAAGCAAGCGCUUUACCUUGAGAAAAUUAGAGUGUUCCAGGCAGGCUUCAGCCGGAAUACAUUAGCAUGGAAUAAUGGAAUAGGACUGGGGACUAUUUAUUGGUUUGAGGCUCCAGUAAUGAUUAAUAGGAACAGUCGGGGGCAUUGGUACUUAACAGUCAGAGGUGAAAUUCUUGGAUUUGUUAAAGACUAACUAAUGCGAAAGCAUUUGCCAAGCAUGUUUUCAUUAAUCAAGAACGAAAGUUAGGGGAUCAAAGACGAUUAGAUACCGUCCUAGUCUUAACUGUAAACGAUUCCAUCUUAGAA